ACGGAAGGCAGCAGUGGGGAAUAUUGCACAAUGGGCGAAAGCCUGAUGCAGCGACGCCGCGUGAGCGAAGAAGUAUUUCGGUAUGUAAAGCUCUAUCAGCAGGGAAGAUAAUGACGGUACCUGACUAAGCAGCACCGGCUAAAUACGUGCCAGCAGCCGCGGUAAUACGUAUGGUGCAAGCGUUAUCCGGAUUUACUGGGUGUAAAGGGAGCGCAGGCGGUACGGCAAGUCUGAUGUGAAAGCCCGGGGCUCAACCCCGGUACUGCAUUGGAAACUGUCGAACUAGAGUGUCGGAGGGGUAAGUGGAAUUCCUAGUGUAGCGGUGAAAUGCGUAGAUAUUAGGAGGAACACCAGUGGCGAAGGCGGCUUACUGGACGAUAACUGACGCUGAGGCUCGAAAGCGUGGGGAGCAAACAGGAUUAGAUACCCUGGUA
rnacentral:rRNA from 1 species